rnacentral:lncRNA from 1 species
UUGUUAAACUUAAUCUUGUAUGGAUCAAGAACAAACAUAUCAAGUUUGUUCUUCUAGUGAAGCUUUUAGUGAGAUGUGUGAAAGAAAUUAAAGCCAUUCAGCUACAGUAAUAAUUUUAAUUUGAUCCAUAUAGUUAGUAAUUUAUUAUAAAGAAAACUAUCCAAGAGAAACACAUCUACAAUAAAAAAGGAUGUUGGUGUGGAUGGCAC